GAUGGCAAGGUGACAAAGGAGAACAUUUGUCCUUGCGGUAUGUAUGAAGCAUCUGUGGAGAGACAGGAGCUGUGCUGGCCAUGGAGGGGCAUUGGUGAGCAGCCAGCCAUGGCCCUGACCUUCUCAAGGUGGAUGGACUGACUAUACUGCUAUUUCAUGGGUGGUGCUGCUAUCCAUGGAUGAGACCCUCCACAUUACAAAGAUCCACAGAGAGUUGUCUGGAUUUAGAUAUGAGACACAAGAGUUGAGAAAUGGAAACGUCAUGGUGAUGGAAGGCUUUUGGGAAUGGUCACAUUGUUGGCAAGCAAGAGCGUAGGAUUCCAUCUCAAGCAACUGUCCCCAGGAUGUGUAUACUACAUGCAUCUAUCUGCCAUCUUGUCACCCACCUGCCAAUUUGGAGUUCCAGGCUGCCACCUCAUGUCUGGUUGACAUCCAUGUUUUACAUGUUGCCGAGAGGAUGAGAACCGAAUAAACUGGGUGAGAAAGAGCAAAGCUUUUUCUCAUGGCUUUGUAUGUGACAUUUGGUGAUAUUCGGGGAAAGGAUAAGGAAAAUGCAGACAGGGGUGAGACAAUUAUCCUUAAAAAAGUUCUCAGAGCAGUAUGCGUGCGUGCCCAAGAUCCUGAGAGGAGAAUGGAGGAGAAGGGAUUGUGACA